GGGGCCGCCCCCGGGGUUGGGGCUCUGUGUGGUGUGGGGGGGCUCUGUGUGUAUGUGUAUGUGUGUUGUUCCUUCCCCCCUCCCUCCCCCGGUGAACUUUUAAUUGAAAGCUGCGCUUCAGGUGAGUGCUGCGGUGCUGCGUUGUGUUGUGGUGGGGGCACGGCCCUGCUGCCAGCUUGGGGCUGCGCCGAGGGGUUCCCCAACACCCGUGGUAUUGGUGGGGGAGAAGCCAUGUUCUAACUUGCCAUAAAGAGGCUGAGGCCCUUCUUGGGGGCGUGAGGGGCUCUGGGAGAAGCCCUUGGGGUCAGCAGCACUGUGGGGCUCUGCUGUCAGCCCUCGCCGCCCCCUGCCCAAUAGCUGGGGGGUCGGUGCGGUGGGUGAGCCCGGUUUGGGCCGCAGUGUGCACGACUGCUGCUGUGGGUUGACUUCCAUGGGAGCUGUGGAGCCGUGGGAUGUGUGUGCUCAGCGUGUUCCCUGCGUGGAAGCGUUCCAUUGCUCUCACUUUCAGUUUUGAGGUGGUAAAGCAGAGCCCUGCUGUGAUCGGUUCAGAUCCAUUGUUUUGGUGAGCUUCCGGCCGGGCCUGACCACAAAUAACACUGCUGAAGUCACGGGGCUGCUGGCGCUACAGAGUGUUUGGGUCAGGUGAGAGCUGGGAAGGAGCGAGGCUGUGCUGGAGGGCUGUGCUGUGCUCCCAGCGUGCUGCUGGGAUCCCAACGUGGGCUUUCGUGGGGAAAGCAGUGCGGAGCUGCUGUCACUGCCAUCAGCAGCGUUUGGUGAGCGAAAGCUCUGCAGGGGAGGCUGCUCAGUUUGGGUGCAGGCGUUAUGGCUGCUCCAAAGGUACCCUCCCAGCGUGGUGGGUGCUGCUGGGUGCCUUGGGACUUGGAGCGUGCUGCUCUCCCAAAGCACACAUAUCUGCUCAUUGCUCAAAGAGCUGUGAGGAGUUUGGAUGCUUCUCUGGGCUUGGUGGUGGUCUGUUAUGGGCAGGGCAGGUUACGCUGCCUUGGAGUGAGCUUUGUCAGAGAUGUGUGUGUGUGGGGGGAAGAAGCCCAGCUUGCUUCCCUUUCAGGUCUGUGGGAAGCAGCACAGAGGGAAGGCGUGUCCCUGAAGCAGUGGAGAAGUGCUGGGUGGACUGAAGGUUGUGCCAUAGGUGAGAUAGCAGUAGCAUUUCUGACCUGAUAACCUGCCCUUGUCACAGACACAAAGCUGGUGCCUUCCCAGUGAGCCACGUUCCCAUACUGCAACUACUUUUCCCUGGGUUGAAAGUUUGUGUGUGCUUCCAGUUGGUAAACAAAAGCUGUUACCUUUUCAUCAAUGCUGCUCCCAAGUGAGGCUUCCGGAGCGUAGUUCACUGGAGCUUUACCGAAGUGCAGAGGGUCACCUGAGUUCAGCCUUAUUUUUAGCUCCAUUUGUUUUUUUUCUGUUUUGGUGCCACUGUUGAGGCAGUUACCCCACGGCAGAUGAUCUGGAGGUGCAGUUCUGCACUCACGGCCGGGCUGUGCUUCUCUGCACUGCAGCAUGGGGGCUGUUGGCUGAUAUGAGCCAUCACAAAUGAAGGUUAUGUGUCUAGGCAGAUAGAUGGAGGUGCUGGCUCGGGCUUUUUAAACUACAGCUGUUUGCACGUGGUGAACUUUGUGUCUUUGGAAGCAUGUGGUUUCAGCGUCACAUGGAAUUAAAGGGCUGUAUGUAUGAUAGGAAAAGCAGAAUCGGGGGGGGAGAAAGCCGUAAGGGAAAGAGGUUUUCUUACUUUGUGUGCGUUUGUGUGAGUAACGAGCGGAAAGAAAAACUUAGGGGGAUGAGAUUUUAAAAAGAGAUUUCUUGAAAAGUGAAGCUGGAGGGUGGUGGACAUGGAGAAGAGCGAUGUUCUGACAGGAGUUCUGUUCUGUUACGUGCUGGAUGGGAAGGCAGCAGGAUUGCUGCAGGAUACGACCGUGCUUUGAUACGUUGCUGUAGCACAGUGGCUUCAAGAAAUGCAGUUUUCUAUUUAGGGGUAAGUUAGGCUGGCAUCAUGGCUUUAGCGGUGGCCAGGCCUGGCUGUGGGCAGGAGCGGUGCCUGGCUGUUGGUGUGAGCCCUGCAGCCCGCAUGGGAUGGAUGGGGUGGGUCUGUGUUGCUGUGAAAUGACACUUUGGGGAUGCUUUUAUCAAACCUUAGCUCUGUCCGUCUUUGCUUGCUGUCAGGCUGUCCCCGAGGAGCAGGUUUGUGUGCAGUUGUUCUGCAGCAAGGCUUCCUCUGCAAAGCGCAGAGCCCAGAAGGUGUGCUGUGGGCUGCCUGCUCCCUGCAGCCCUUUGUGUUUGUCAAGUUGCUGUGUGUUCAGUGCACAGCACUUCUUCCCUUCCCUCCAUGCUCCCACUUAUGCACUUCCAAAGGUACUUUUUUUGUGUGUCACAACCAUUUGCUCUUCAGAAAGUCCUCAUACUGUGAAUAAAUGUGGUGGAUCAAUAUAAUUAGGUCACCAGUGUCUUCCCAGCCCAGACACAAGCAAAUGCUGCGCUGUGGAAGGCAAACAGAUUGGUGUGUGCCACGCUCAGAGCUGAUGUUUAAAAGUCUUUCUCUUUCCUUACAGCCCUCCUGCUUCAAUUCCAUUCUGAGAAGCAGAAAGGAAGGGCUGGCAUUUGUAGCUUUUGUUGUCUGUGUGUGUGCACUACGUUUCUGUGCAUGGAAGCCCUGGUUUUGCAGGUAUUCCUGGGUAACUCAACGUGUGCUCCUGUACCUGCAAGGUGCCCUGGCUAUGCUCAGGCCCUCUCAGCAGCUGCUCCUGUGAUGGCUGUGUCAGGAGAUGUGUGCAGAAGUGAAGGAGAACCAUGGCAACGCGGGAUGGGGAUGGGACACAUUAAGGAUCCAACUGGAGCUUUGGGAUAAGGGUGUUUGGAGUGCAGGUUGUAAAAGGAGAGAGGUGGGUAGGAGGGGAGGACUGAGGUGAGCUCGGGGGUUCUCCUCACUUCUUACUGGCAGUACGAAGCUUGAGCUCAGGGGCUUUCUGAAGUCUUGGCUGAGCGAAGGGACACAAGGGACAGCUUCAUUGCCUCUGAGAUGUUUCAGUUUUAAAUAUAUCUGAAGCCUUGAAGGCCAAAGAGUUGUUAAGAUUGGAAAAGACCACUAUCAUCACCUAAUCCAACAGUCUCCCCAUAGUCCAACCAUCAACCCAUCUUCGUUCUUAGGAGGGCAUGCGAUAGGAGAGCAUCCUCUGAAAACACAGCAAGUGGAGGAACUGCUCUGCAGAGGAUGAGCAGGCACAGGAUGCAAGCAUAUUGCCAACAAUUAAGUGCUUUUAGACCUCGUCCGUCUCCCAUGCUGAUAUUCCACAGCCUUGGCACAUCUCGGAGUUCUCUCGAGCAGAAAUAGCUUUAAUUUAUUUAAUGACAAAAGCUAAUCAUGUUAUAGCGCAGAUGUGUCACUUUAGUGGCUUUAUAAGAUUUUGUGGUGAAAUGUCUUGGAGAAAGCCAUUCUUCCAAAAAUGGGAUUUGCAACAGCUUGUUUUCUUCUCAUGUCUGGAGACGUGCCGGUGUGUGUUCUGUGGCAGAAGUCUGCAGGACAAGGUUGCUUUACUCACAGGUAUAUAUUUUGGUGUGCAGUACCGAUUUUUGGAACGCGGGUUUUAUUUCUAUCCAUGAUAAGAAGUUGACUGGGGAGUGGUGGGAGACCUGGAAGUAUGAAGUGCUCUGCUCAGUGUUGGGAAGUAGGGUGCCCACCUGUGUGUGCGGGCUGUGGCUGUUGUUGUGUCGGGCCUGAAAGACUCUUUCAUGUCAGCAGCUCGUGCUGGGCUGUGUGGAGUUUGUGCAUUUGCUCUGGUUUUGUUUCAUGGUAAGAGUUAGCAGUGAAGGCCUCUCUUUACAGAUAACCUAUAUUUUCUUUUUCUCUCUAAUCCAGCAUUUUCAGGGCUAGUCAACUGUCAAGUUUAGUUGUGCGUAAAUCCUCUAAUAUGAUUAGAGUUGCUGGAAUUUUCACUCCAAGGAAUUAGAGGCUUUUCUGCACUGAAUGAACAGGAGGGUGCCGGUGUUUGCUGCGGGGCUCGAGGUGCCGCGCUCUGUGCGAGCCAGGAGCUUGUUUUCCCAUCCUGAAGGUUGGUGCGACUUCUCACCAUUCAUGUUUGCACUUUGCGGUAUUUCCAAGAACUUCUCCUAGGCACAGUUUUCCUUCCCGGGCUGUGGACUCGGUUUUGCCUCCCAAAUAGGAAAUGAUGAUGUGGGACAGCUGGAAGGAGAAAAUAGGAUGGGUUCUUAAAAGGAAAGAAUCAAAGGGAGGAGAGCGGAAUGAGCUCCUAGGCUAGUGGUAUUUUUGGGUAUGUGUGAUCCUUGCGUUGUGUUGUGUGACUCUGGGAGGUGUCCCGGGGCAUGCUCUCUCCUCAUAGCAGGUGGUGGCCCACUGUUGCUGAUGGGACUUGAGUCAAAGUGCUGCCGGGCACGUAACUGGGUUAAUGGGACAGCGCUUCCUUCCUUCCUGGAAGGAAAAUUACAUGUUCUCUAUUCUUACUGUACCUUAAAAGUUGUUUUUACCUCUGCUUUACUCUUCAGUCAUCUGAGAUGGCCAGAAAUGGACUGCUUUCCUACACAGAGCAAGGCCCCGGGGCUUCCCUAGGUUGUGUCAGAUCAAAGUCAACCUCACCACCAAAGUAAUUCAUUUCUGCUGUUGGUUGUAAGGCCUCUGUGUGUCCUUUAUCUGGGUGUGAGCUGACAUAUUUCUAGAACUCUAAACACAACCGAGGAAAAGCAAAGUGGAUUCCAGACUGCACUUCUUGACAGAGAAGCACAUCUUUGAUCCUUGCCCGGUGCCAGGAGCAUCCUCCAAAACCAUUGGGGAAGUGUUGAAGAGGAGCGAGAAGAGCUCACACUGUUGAACAUCUUAAAUAAUGCAAGUUUUCCUGGGCUGUAAAGCCUUUGUGAGGUGGAAGCUGCUGCAUGUUGUGCUGGUUCUUUCUCAGGUUGCCAAAUAAUGAUUCCCUAUUCGUUUUCGUUUCAGUUUGAUUUACACCUGAGACCGAUGAUGUGUGAGUUACUGAAUUACCAGGAGCUUGAUUUAAACGCCUGUGCUUCUGGUGGCUGAAAUCAAAAAGCCUUAAAGCAUGUUAGUUGUGACUUCUGAUGUGAAAUCCGUGGUCAGGUCAGGAGUGUGUUGGGAGAGCAGUUUUGGGAGCGGCCGAUGGAUGCCCAUUUCAGCCUUGUAAGGUUGGUGUAGGACGUGCUCCUGUCUGUGCUUGCUGAGCUGCUGAGGCAUUUGGCUUGCUGUAGGAUGCAUGGUGAACUUCAGUUUGUGGCAUCUCUCCUUCCAAUACUGACACAAAUAGAAAUACUGGUUACUGAAUGGUCUGUCUUCAAAUGCUUUACUUUUCAGGGCUCUGCGUUUUGUAUUCUGGAGCUGUAAAAUGCAAAUAAUUCGCCUGUCAACCUGUCUGCAACUCAGGCUGUGUGUUUCCUUCAGCGAAGGUGUUUUAAGGUAGAUUUCCAAGUGCUUUUAUGUCUUCUUUCGAAAAGAAAAAGGAUGCAGUUUUUGUUGAUAUGCAAAUAUUGCCAAGUGUAAUCUUGCAGGAUGCUCUGUGAGCUUUAACUCCUCAACUUAAUUGUAUUGAUUACAAUUCCAAAACCCUUUUCUUAAUUAAAAGAAAACAAACCAACACCACAACACAAACCACAGAAGUCCACCUGCACAACUGAACUGCUUCAUUUUUAAGUGUUUGGUUUUGAGUUUGCACACUGAGUUUGGCUGUGCAGGAUUCCCAUUCUGCCCCCAAAACGUGGGAUCCAGCUGUGCUGCAGGGCAGUGGCACCUGGUGCUGCAGGCCUAUCAGAAACCAUUGCUGCUGGUGCUUGGCACCGUCCCCGUCUCUUGCUGAAGCCAAAGCACACUUUAUCUACUCAGACUGACAUUAAGAUCGUUAAAUAAAUGAAUGAAUUGUGCUGUCACCAAAUUCCGAUCCUGGCAGACUAAAAACAUGUGAAUUUUAUGGAGGAGACCUCUGUCCAGAAUGUGUUAUUUAAUGUCCUGAAUGUCAGCAGUGGAAAUAGUCAGUGAAAGCUUUCUAGUAAAGCGUGUGUGCCUUAAUGAGUUAAUGGUGAGGAGAGGUACAGUAGCCUGAGUCACCGGGCCCUGGGUCAUUGCAGAUGGCGUUAGCCAGCAUGGGGAGCGCCUGUUGAAGGAAGCAGAGCUCUGCUGACAGGGUAGGGCUGCCUCCAGCUGUGCUGGAUGUGCCGAAAGCAGGGAUGGCUCUCUGUUUCCAUUGAGGAGUUGGCAUUGUCCUGGCUGAGCCAAAAUGCGCGAGGCUUGGGAAGGGCUCAGGGCAGCCUGCUGAGCUCUGCUUCCAGAAGGCUGAAACGCUUCCUGAGAGGAGGAGCUUGGGCUGCUCUUCCUUAAGAUGUAGCUCCCUCCUCAAUGUGAUGUGCUUUUGUUGACGAAUAGAGGACAUCAGAGAUCUGUCAUGCUUGCUGGGGGUAGGUCGCAAAUGUUCCUGCAUUGCACAGUAAAAAGCAGAAGCGUGGUUCGAUGGAACAAUGCAUUGUAUAACUGUGUCCUGCUCGUGCCACAGCCCCAGAGUCUGCCAUCAGGGUGGGGACUUCCGAACAUCCGCGCUGUGGGGCAGGAGGAGCAGUGCCAGGGCUGCUGCCAGCUGGAGCUGCAGGGCGGUGCUGGUACGCCUUUGGAGCUGGCUGCCGGCUGGAGGAGCGAUGAGAGGCUGCCCAGCUCCUCUCUGCUCUGCACCACGGACAGCCUGGGUGUUUGCUUUGGUCCCCUCCUGUUCUGAAGUGUCCAACACAAAGCUCGGUGCUACCAGAUGGAAGCAAACCCUUUUCUUCCUCUCCUCCCUGCACCUGAGUAUUUGUCUUAAUAUCUCCUGCAUGCAGAGAAGUCUGAGCAGGCAGAAGGUAUGGAUGGGUCCUGAGCUUCCUUCCAUGGGAUGGCACAUCGUGUCCAUACAUCUUGGCUGCCUCCCGCUGCGCAUCAUUUUGGAUUGGAGUGUCACAGCAGAGCUGCUUCACACAGCAGAGAUGUGUGUGUGGAAAUUUUCCUUGGUAUCCAUGUGGGGCCACUGCAAGCAAAACUCGCUUUGUACGUGAGAAAUGCCAUGGAACUCUCUUCUGCUCUUCUUCAGAUUCUGCUGCGAUAAAUGCAUUGCUGCUGUGGCUCUUUCUUGUCAAGCACCCUAUGGAGGUGUGCAGAAAGCGUGCUACCGAGAGCCCGUGUGUGAAGAAGAGGACGUGCAGAGCACUGGAUUGCAGAGGCCUGGAGCUCCUGUCCAGCCAGGCUGCUUUGUGCUGUGGCUCUGCAGCGGGGUGUGAGGCAUUGCUCUGCCAUCCCUGGGAGCUGUGCUUCCGGAACUGCCUUUUGUAUGACCUGGGAUUUGAACCUGAGAGAAAUCAUAAGCUCUGCACGUGCAAGAGCGUACUUACAGUUUCAUUUCAUUUUGAUAAACCACUGAAAUAAAGAUUCUGGAGGGGAAUGGCGAGGCGCUAGGAAGCUGGGAGCUGAAAUGUGCGUUCCUGCUCACUAGGAACGUACCUGGGGAGUUCUUGGGACGACAGUCGGUCUGUGUGACAACGCCACUGUCACCACGAUGGUUCUUGACACACUGACCAGCCGGGUGUUACAUUUUCCCAUGAAGUUGCAGUGUGAAGUAUUAGAGAUGUGGUAGGAAGCACAGCCUGGAGAAUGGGGCACACUGCGAGGCUGGUGAGUCCCAGUGGCCAUCCCCAUAAAGCAAAGAGGCAUAUCUGUGCAGUGGCCUUGGCAGCUGGAGCAGCUGAUCUGCAUUCGUAGGGCAUGAGGGAGGCGGUGGGUGGGCUGGGGGCAGUUCUGUGUGAAUGAAACGCCCAGGAGGGUAAAAAUGGGCAAGCUGUGUUUUAGUAAAUGGCAGCAGGCAGUGCUGAAAUCUGGGCUCGCAGGUGAAAAUCGCUGCGGAUGAACGCUGCUGCAGUGCUGGAGUCUGGCUUAGGAACUUUUCUCCCCUUCUGAUCUUGUAACAACAUGCCUCAGAUGCAGGUAAUUGCUGUGCUGGAGGGGAGCUGGAGAUGGAUGGCUUCACUUGGUGAGUCUGGUGCUGGGGAGGCGGGCUGAUACCGACACUGAAGGCUGUGGUAGGCUGUAAGCUGGUGGCUGAGCAGCAGUUUGGCCAAAGGAGGGUUGGUCUGCUGAAACUGAAGAGGUGGGGGUUUUGGUCUUGUUUUCUUUUUCUCCCGGGGUAUCUAAUAAUUUCCCACUGGAAAAGCACUGUGUUGUAUCUUUUUGUCCAGCUUAGUAUUGCCCUUCAUGCCCCAGUCCCUGCCCUGCUUUGAUUUGGGACAAGCAGAGCCUGCUGCUCUGUGCUGUUCACCUGGCUGUCACCUGGCCCUCUGCUUUCUCUGCUUGAACUCCAGUGUUCUCAGCAAGCUGUGUGUCUGCAGUAAGAACUCAGUAUAGAAAUAACUAUGUGCAUUAAGUAACUGUUCUGAAAGAGGGGAAAAAAGAAAAAGAAAAAAAAAAAAAA